GUUUAAGGCUAGCCAACAUUGGAAAGCGAUCAUUUCCAAGAUGGUGAUCAAAUAUCUCAACACAGUGUCACCUGUUACUGCACCCGCCACAACACGUUGGACAGGAGGUCCUGGUACACACUAAGAAAUAGCCAGCCAGGUAAAUACAUCAAGGUGAUGAGGCCCAUGAAAUUAAGAGGAUAGUGAGAAUAGUCCCAGGAACAGGCCCCGCACAUUCGAAGUCCCAGACCCCAGGAAAACUCCCACGCAUAGAUGAAGAUCACAUAGAUGGGCACCCGCUUCCACGUGCCCCAGCCACGGCUGUAGUGAAGGUGGAAGUAGAGUUUUUCCACCACGAAACUACAACUUCCGUACAUGAAGAAAGACCAGAGGGAUGUGUGGCCACUGCUGGCCCUGUCCCCCUGCCCCAGCACAUUGAAGAAGAAGGUGAAGAAGAUCUCAUCCAGAAAGCCAUGCAUUCCGAAGAAAAGGAAGCGGAGGAGGUCGGGCAGUCCCUGGGUACCGCAAACACAAGAAGCGCUUCAGGAACACUUGGCCGUGGUAGAGCGCGAGCACGUACUGCAGCGCCAGGUCGAGCGCCCCCAGCGCCGGCGCUGCCGCGCCCCCCGGCCCGCCGCCUAGGCUGAGCCGUAGCGCCUGGCCAGCCAGGGUCUGCAGCCCGACGUGCGCAGAGGGGUAAAGCAGGAAAUUGAAGAGGAAGGCGCUGGGGCAGCGCGGCCGCUGCAGGU
rnacentral:lncRNA from 1 species